UAAACAGAAACUUGUUGGUUGAAGUGCCUGGCUGUUAACUAGGUGUUUGUGGGAUCAAGGCCCGCCUGUUUAU
rnacentral:tRNA from 1 species